UACGAGGGGGGCUAGUGUUGUUCGGAAUCACUGGGCGUAAAGGGAGCGUAGGCGGGAGCUCAAGUUGGGUGUUUAAUUCCGGGGCCCAACCCCGGGCGUGCACUCAAAACUGGGUUUCUUGAAUAGGGGAGAGGUCGAUGGAAUUGGAGGUGUAGCGGUGGAAUGCGUAGAGAUCUCCAAGAACACCGGUUGCGAAGGCGGUCGACUGGACCCAUAUUGACGCUGAGGCUCGAAAGCGUGGGGAGCAAACAGG
rnacentral:rRNA from 2 species